ACACAGGCUUCAUCCUGAACAGAUACGAUGUACAGAGCAUCGCACUGGCUGGCCCAUAGGGUUCUUGUGGGAGAGGCCAGGCCUCUGUGACCAUGAAAGGGGUUGCAACUGAUACAGUCAGGGAGGGAUCCCAGGAAGGGGAGUGAUUCCCUUAAAUUUGCUUGUUGAAACCCGUAUCUGGCAGGGGAAAGGAGGAUCCGGUGCAGAGCUUGGAUUCAGCAGAGGUGGCUGUUGAUGUGACCAGUCCCCCUGUUUGGGUGGGAAGGCCCUGAAUGACACAUGCAGCAAGCUUUCAGCCUCGGAGGGCAGUACAUCCUAAAGUGAAUCACCAACUUAAUUAUUCCUCUGCAAAUUACCAUCAGUGAUACGAGAUUCAACGACAAGGAGCUGUGAGAGCGCACAGGAAGGGAGCUCAUUUCUGGGGCUUUACCCCAUAAAGACAAAGAAACUGGCUGAGGAGACAAGAGAAAGAAAGUAGCAGAAGAUGGGAAGGAAACAGACGGAGUCUCACUUGUGUUGCCAAGAGAGCUUGAGCAUCAACUGGCAGUGAGGAUGGC
rnacentral:lncRNA from 1 species